ACAUUAAGAAAAUUGGCUACAACCCUGAC
rnacentral:piRNA from 2 species